rnacentral:rRNA from 1 species
GGACGAAAACAACAACACCUAAAAUGUGGAAUAUAGCAUAUAGUCGACAAGAGAAAUCUACGAAAAACAAACAAAACUUUCAACAACGGAUCUCUUGGUUCUCGCAUCGAUGAAGAGCGCAGCGAAAUGCGAUACCUAGUGUGAAUUGCAGCCAUCGUGAAUCAUCGAGUUCUUGAACGCACAUUGCGCCCCUCGGCAUUCCGGGGGGCAUGCCUGUUUGAGCGUCGUUUCCAUCUUGCGCGUGCGCAGAGUUGGGGGAGCGGAGCGGACGACGUGUAAAGAGCGUCGGAGCUGCGACUCGCCUGAAAGGGAGCGAAGCUGGCCGAGCGAACUAGACUUUUUUUCAGGGACGCUUGGCGGCCGAGAGCGAGUGUUGCGAGACAACAAAAAGCUCGACCUCAAAUCAGGUAGGAAUACCCGCUGAACUUAAGCAUAUCAAUAAGCGGAG